rnacentral:lncRNA from 1 species
CAGGAGAUUCAACUCCCUCUACGUUUCCCCACCUGUGUGGACAAGAAGCUUUUGUUACACAUAAAUCCUUCGUGCUGUGCUUGGGAAAUUAGUAGAAUGCUCACACCAGGGCCAGGAAGGGCUAGCAGUGGUGCCUGUGACCCCAGCUAUAUGGGGCCCCCAUGAGAGAGGCCCCAGACCACAGCCAGUGCCUGCAGAGAGUGCUAACAAGGAGCCCGGGCGACAAGGGGAUGAUGACCCUCCUGAGUCCAUCACCACAGCACCACCUGUGCAUGCUCUAUCUGCAUCACCUAUACAUCAUCACCUGCGCAUCACCUGCACAUCAUCACCUGCGCUAGUUACCUGCGUCACCUGUGUUACCUACAUCAUGGUUUGGAUAAAAGACACAUACCAGCAUGUAUAGCACUCUCUCUCUCUCUCUCUCUCUCUCUCUCUCUCUCCUUCUCUCCUUCUCUCCUUCUCUUCUUCCUCCCCACCCCCACCUCCUUCAGGGGUGACUCUGUCAAUAAAG